rnacentral:rRNA from 1 species
UACAGAGGGUGCAAGCGUUAAUCGGAAUGACUGGGCGUAAAGGGCGAGUAGGCGGUUAUGUAGGUGUGGUGUGAAAGACAAGGGCUUAACCUUUGGGUGUCACCGCAAACGGCAUGACUAGAGAACAGUAGAGGGGAGUGGAAUUUCCGGAGGAGCGGUGAAAUGCGUAGAUCUCGGAAGGAACACCGGUGGCGAAGGCGACUCUCUGGACUGUGACUGACGCUGAGGCGCGAAGGCGUGGGGAGCAAACAGG